UACGUAGGGGGCGAGCGUUGUCCGGAAUCAUUGGGCGUAAAGCGCGUGUAGGCGGCCCGGUAAGUCCGCUGUGAAAGUCCAGGGCUCAACCCUGGGAUGCCGGUGGAUACUGUCGGGCUCGAGUCCGGAAGAGGCGAGUGGAAUUCCUGGUGUAGCGGUGAAAUGCGCAGAUAUCAGGAGGAACACCGGUGGCGAAGGCGGCGACCUGGUCCUAUACUGACACUCAUACACGAAAGCGUGGGGAUCAAACAGG
rnacentral:rRNA from 1 species